GCUUAGAGUUUGAUCCUGGCUCAGAGCGAACGCUGGCGGCACGCCUAACACAUGCAAGUCGAGCGCGAAAGUUUUCUUCGGAAAACGAGUAGAGCGGCGGACGGGUGAGUACAACGUGGGUAACGUGCCAACGAGUGGGGAAUAACUUCGCGAAAGCGGAGCUAAUACCGCAUAAUAUCUACCUUAUGUAAGUAUAGUAGAUCAAAGGGGGCCUCUUCUAUGCUCCCGCUUGUUGAGCGGCCCGCGCCCCAUUAGUUAGUUGGUGAGGUAACGGCUCACCAAGACUACGAUGGGUAGCCGACCUGAGAGGGUGAUCGGCCACACUGGGACUGAGACACGGCCCAGACUCCUACGGGAGGCAGCAGUGAGGAAUUUUCCGCAAUGGACGAAAGUCUGACGGAGCGAUGCCGCGUGCGUGAUGAAGGUUUUCGGAUCGUAAAGCGCUGUCGGAAGGGACGAGACCCCGAUGUGUUAAUACCACUUCGGACCGACGGUACCUUCCAAGGAAGCCCCGGCUAACUCCGUGCCAGUAGCCGCGGUAAUACGGGGGGGGCAAGCGUUGCUCGGAAUCAUUGGGCGUAAAGGGCUCGCAGGCGGCCCACUAAGUCAGUUGUGUAAGCCCACGGCUUAACCGUGGAAUUGCGACUGAUACUGGUAGGCUUGAGUACAGGAGAGGAGGGCGGAAUUCCAUGUGUAGCGGUGAAAUGCGUAGAUAUAUGGAGGAACACCGGUGGCGAAGGCGGCUCUCUGGACUGUAACUGACGCUGAGGAGCGAAAGCGUGGGGAGCAAACAGGAUUAGAUACCCUGGUAGUCCACGCU
rnacentral:rRNA from 1 species